ensembl:lncRNA
UCAGCGAAACUGUGACAAUGUUUUGCCAGUACCACUGGUGAUUAACAUGAGGAUGUAUCUGAUCAAGUUGAAAGUGAUGAUGAGCCUGAUGUUACAUCAGAGUCAAGGAUGUCAAGGAUGAGAGUGGUGUAGUGAAUAUUGUUAAUGAUGCAGAAACACCUGUUGAACAAAGUCUGCUAGAGAUUCACAAGUAUCAGCUGAUGAGGAAGUUGAACCUCAGAGGAAGAGAACCGUUUAAGGGGGGAGAGUGUAGUCCUGUGCUAUAUUUUCUUUUUAUUUUCUUCAUGUAAAAAUAUUUACAACGGUUAAAAAAUGUUUUCAAUACCCUAUGCCAAAAUGUAUUUUAUUUUUCAAUGGCCUGAAUUUAAUUUUUUGAUUUGAAUACUUCGUUUCUGUAAUUGUAUUGGUUAUUAUGAUGAUGUGACCUUUGAACCACAAACUGUGGUAACGGGAGCUGGAGGGUUGAGGAGUGGAGAAGAGAAGAGAAGAUGGACCAGAGCAGACGGCUAGUCUGAGCUAGCGGUAAAUAACUUUACAAUUACACUGUUAUUAUAUAUAUCUAGGCUAUAAGACGAGAUUUUAACGGAUUUAAGUUGUCGAACAGAUAACUUAAAACAUCAGUGACUGUGUUCUGGGACAGUUUAAUGAGUUUAAAGAACGUGAGUAGCCUGCCUCUUGACGCCUAGCCUGGGCGCCAUAUUAGCUCGUAGUGCUCGAGCCAGAGGCAGUCACCAUCGUCCUCGGUGCACACGGGAUGUUUAAAACUUUGCUGAGUUGCCGAGACAGGAGGAUUCCUUUACCUUUCGUUUGGAUAAGACGGAUGGAGAGAAAGCAGUGACGCAAGCGCGAACAGGUCGACACAAGGAGCGGGACUCUCCACUCUCCCAAUUUUCCAUUGCCUCAAGGGAGCGGGUCCUCUUCCACAGAGUCUGCCAUGUUGCACCGCCAUGUUUCUACAGUAGCCCUGAACGGACAAACCACUGGCUUGAGGUAGGGCUUUUCACAUUUUUAUGGAAUUUGAUGGCCGCAGUAGGUACUUGCACACGCUUGUAAAGGAAGGGGUAUUCAGCUGGUUUCAAUUCAGCAACCUCACCACUAGAUGUCACUACAAACUAC